UACGUAGGUGGCAAGCGUUGUCCGGAUUUACUGGGCGUAAAGCGCGCGCAGGCGGUCUUUUAAGUCUGAUGUGAAAGCCCACGGCUCAACCGUGGAGGGUCAUUGGAAACUGGGAGACUUGAGUGCAGAAGAGAAGAGUGGAAUUCCACGUGUAGCGGUGAAAUGCGUAGAGAUGUGGAGGAACACCAGUGGCGAAGGCGACUCUUUGGUCUGUAACUGACGCUGAGGCGCGAAAGCGUGGGGAGCAAACAGG
rnacentral:rRNA from 1 species